GGCGACAUAGCCAAGUGGUAAGGCAGCGGUUUGCAAAACCGCCAUUCCCCGGUUCAAAUCCGGGUGUCGCCUCCA
rnacentral:tRNA from 1 species